GACGAACGCUGGCGGCGUGCUUAACACAGGCAAGUCGAACGGAAAGGCCCUGCUUUUGUGGGGUGCUCGAGUGGCGAACGUGUGAGUAACACGUGAGUAACCUGCUCUUGACUUUGGGAUAACUUCAGGAAACUGGGGCUAAUACCGGAUAGGAGCUCCUGCUGCAUGGUGGGGGUUGGAAAGUUUCGGCGGUUGGGUAUGGACUCGCGGCUUAUCAGCUUGUUGGUGGGGUAGUGGCUUACCAAGGCUUUGACGGGUAGCCGGCCUGAGAGCGUGACCGGCCACAUUGGGACUGAGAUACGGCCUAGACUGCUACGGGAGGCAGCAGUGGGGAAUAUUGCGCAAUGGGGGGAAGCUUGAUGCAGCACCGCCGCGCGCGGGAUGACGGACUCACGGGUGCAGCCCGAUUUAGACUGGGACGAAGUGUCAGUGAUGGUCUCGGCGCCAGCAGCACCGGCUAAAUACCUG
rnacentral:rRNA from 1 species